GGCGACGAUCCCUAGCUGGUCUGAGAGGAUGAUCAGCCACACUGGAACUGAGACACGGUCCAGACUCCUACGGGAGGCAGCAGUGGGGAAUAUUGCACAAUGGGGGGAAACCCUGAUGCAGCCAUGCCGCGUGUGUGAAGAAGGCCUUCGGGUUGUAAAGCACUUUCAGCGAGGAGGAAAGGUCAGUAGCUAAAUUUCUGUUUGGGCUGUUGAACGUUACUCGCGAAGGAAGCACCGGCUAACCUCCGUGCCAGCAACCGCGGUAAUACGGAGGUUGCAAGCGUUAAUCGGAAUUACUGGGCGUAAAGCGCACGCAGGCGGUUGGAUAAGUUAGAUGUGAAAGCCCCGGGCUCAACCUGGGAAUUGCAUUUAAAACUGUCCAGCUAGAGUCUUGUAGAGGGGGGUAGAAUUCCAGGUGUAGCGGUGA
rnacentral:rRNA from 2 species